UACGGGGGGAGCAAGCGUUGUUCGGAUUUACCGGGCGUAAAGGGCGCGUAGGCGGUCAGCACAAGUCAGUUGUGAAAUCUCCGGGCUUAACUCGGAAAGGUCAACUGAUACUGUGCGACUAGAGUGCGGAAGGGGCAACUGGAAUUCUCGGUGUAGCGGUGAAAUGCGUAGAUAUCGAGAGGAACACCUGCGGCGAAGGCGGGUUGCUGGGCCGACACUGACGCUGAUGCGCGAAAGCCAGGGGAGCGAACGGG
rnacentral:rRNA from 1 species